CCUGAGGAGCCAGGUGCCUGAAACUUCCUCCACCUGCCUGAGGAGCGCCAAAGCCCAGGCUGGCUGGACAACCCCUUCUGGCUGCCUAAGCAGGUGGCAGAGGAAGGAAACAAGGUCAGAGGCAGAGUGUUGAACCCUGCCUCCCAG
rnacentral:lncRNA from 1 species